rnacentral:rRNA from 1 species
AGCUCCAAUAGCGUAUAUUAAAGUUGUUGCAGUUAAAAAGCUCGUAGUUGGAUCUCGGGUGCAGGCUUGCGGUCCGCCUCGCGGCGGUCACUGCUCGUCCUGGCAGCCUAGCUGCGGUGUAUCCCUUGGUGCUCUUGAUUGAGUGUCUCGGGUGGCCGGAACGUUUACUUUGAUGAAAUUAGAGUGUUCAAAGCGCGGGCGCUUCGCCCGCAUAAUGGUGCAUGGAAUGAUAGAAUAGGACCUCGGUUCUAUUUUGUUGGUUUUCGGAACCAGAGGUAAUGAUUGAGAGGGACAGACGGGGGCAUUCGUAUUGCGGCGUUAGAGGUGAAAUUCUUGGAUCGCCGCAAGACGGACUACAGCGAAAGCAUUUGCCAAGAAUGUUUUCC